AUGAACCUAUCCAUGCUAAGGGAGCGCAGGUGGGAGGUGUGUUACAGCCGUGGCUGGGGAUGCAGUGAUGUGGUGGAUCAAGAUGGGGACUCUGAGCCAUGCCAAGACCCCACAAGCAGUGCUGGGGACCCUGCCCCACGGGGCUGUGUGUGGUGCUGCACCCACAGCCGAGCGCAUGCACCCAGGGGAGCGAUGCAAGGGGGCACGGCACCCUACGGAGCAGCAAAGGCCACCCCAUCCCUGCUUCUCCAUCCUGCCGCCUAUCCCGGGGACCGAAAGAUGCAGAGCCCCUCUCUGAUGCAUUCGCACCCCAGGCAGAAGCCAGGCACUUUCGGGCCCAACGCCCUGCACCCACGCGGGGCAGCACCCGGCGGUGACGCAGCGGGCAGGCACGCAGCGGCGCUGGGUGCUGCCGAGGGAACCGGGCUCUGGGGGAGGCAAACCAGCACGUCGGGCAGAGCCCAGCACACCUGGAGAGCAGCCCCUGCUCCUCCUGGCCUCCAGCCAGCGCCGGCCGAGCCGUGGGGCUUGCACAACGCUCAGCACCACGCCCCGCGGGGCUCAGCUCCCAGCCCUCUCCCUCCUGCCCCUUGCUGCGGACCCAUGGCUGGAGCUGGCACCGGGCUGAGCCAGGAAGGUGGGUGCUGGGUGGGUGGGUGCCGGGCGGUGUCACCCAUGGAGCCCCAGGAAUUUGGGGACUUUGCAGGUGGCCAUCCGGGGGGCUGCCGACGGGGCUCUGGUCCUUGUGGGGUGUGCAGGGGUGACGGGCUGACCCCAGUAGGGCUGGCAGGGGACCUGGGGCAGCCCCAGGCUCUGCCAUGGAGUGAUUUCAGCCAGCACAGAGCCUCGGGGCUGCCGGCAGUGCCAUCAGGCCCCUGCCUGUCCCAGGAGCGGGGUGACAGCCGGGGUGACAGCCAGGCUGACGUAUGUAGGCUCUCGCUUUCAGCAGCUUUGCUCCCUCCCAGGCUUGGGUUCCCUUGCACAUUGCCUACGAGAAGAAAACUCGCGUGUCCUGCCGUCCCCAGCUCUGCUGCAGCUGCUUCCCCUUGGGGUUCUCAGCUUUAG
rnacentral:lncRNA from 1 species